CACGAGAGAGCUAACCGAGUAGGUCUAUCGUGUUGCAAAAUCCAUUAGCCAUCACGAGCGUUUCCGGUCAACAAUGGUUAGUGGAGGCACCCGUCUAAGACCCUAGGAAGAUUCUUUCAACAUGCCUGUUGACAUGGUUGUUGGUACUCUGGAAGGCUUCUUGAUCAUAUCAAGGAUGGUAACAUGGUUUACCGUGAUAUUAAGUAUCGAGUUCUGGAUGAAGCAGAUACAAUGUUUGAUCAAGGAUUUGGACCAGACAUACGGAAAAUUCAUUGCUCCAUUCAAGAAUCAUGCUGCAAAGCCUGACGAUCAGGGGUUCCAAACUAUACUC